GCUGGGAUGCCUGCAGGUUUGGUGAGGGCUUCUUUCUCUCACACACUUUAGCCAAACAGAGGCAACCAGAGCCUGUGGCUGGUGUCCUUCUGUCCCUGGAGCAGGACAACUGGGCUGGCAGUGUCCAGGAGAGGUCACUCCUGUAUGCCAGAAACUGCUGGACAUGGAGCUGCCUCCUUACCCUGCCUCUGUCACCUGUGGUCAGAAGCAGAGUCAUGUCUGGAAGGUGAGGUCAUUUGGAGCACAAGAGAGUUCCUGGUGAGCCAACACAGCUAAGAGCUGACUCCUGCUUUUUGAUGUGAGAAGUCUUCCACGCUUUCCCCCUCCUGGAGACAUGAGAGUGACAGACAACGUUGCCUCCUGGGUACAGAGUGACCACUGCUGUUGAGUAAAGCCCCUGCUAAAGAGGUACAACAGAAGCUGUGCCCAGGAUCAUUAAGCAAAAUCCAACCAGCUGUCCACCAGUCCCCCAGCAGGUAAACCACAAACCUGGUGCUGGAGAGCCUGCACACCAGCUGCAAAAAGGGUGAUGCAAGGUACAGCCACACUGUGUUUUGUUCUGGGUUCUUCUCCUAAACCCCAGGGUUUAUGUUCAUACUUGCUGCCUGAAGACUCAGU